rnacentral:rRNA from 1 species
UGGCGACCGGCGCACGGGUGAGUAACACGUAUGCAACCUGCCUUCAACAAGGGCAUAACCCGUUGAAAGACGGACUAAUUCCCUAUGACACAGGGGUCCCGCAUGGGGAUAUUUGUUAAAGAUAUUAUCGGUUGAAGAUGGGCAUGCGUUCCAUUAGCUUGUUGGCGGGGUAACGGCCCACCAAGGCAACGAUGGAUAGGGGAACUGAGAGGUUUAUCCCCCACACUGGUACUGAGACACGGACCAGACUCCUACGGGAGGCAGCAGUGAGGAAUAUUGGUCAAUGGACGCAAGUCUGAACCAGCCACGUCGCGUGAAGGAAGACGGCCCUACGGGUUGUAAACUUCUUUUAUACGGGAAUAAAGUGCCCCACGCGUGGGGUUUUGCAAGUACCGUACGAAUAAGGAUCGGCUAACUCCGUGCCAGCAGCCGCGGUAAUACGGAGGAUCCGAGCGUUAUCCGGAUUUAUUGGGUUUAAAGGGUGCUCAGGCGGGGGAUUAAGUCGGCGGUGAAAUUUUGCAGCUCAACUGUAAAAGUGCCUUCGAAACUGGUUUCCUUGAGUGCGGAUGAGGUAGGCGGAAUUUGUGGUGUAGCGGUGAAAUGCAUAGAUAUCACGAGGAACUCCGAUUGCGCAGGCAGCUUACCAAGCCGUAACUGACGCUCAAGCACGAAGGCGUGGGGAUCAAACAGGAUUAGAUACCCUGGUAGUCCACGCAGUAAACGAUGAUUACUGGCUGUUUGCGAUAUAAUGUAAGCGGCUGAGCGAAAGCGUUAAGUAAUCCACCUGGGGAGCACGUUCGCAAGAAUGAAAC